rnacentral:rRNA from 1 species
GGUUAAGCGACUAAGCGUACACGGUGGAUGCCCUGGCAGUCAGAGGCGAUGAAGGACGUGCUAAUCUGCGAUAAGCGUCGGUAAGGUGAUAUGAACCGUUAUAACCGGCGAUUUCCGAAUGGGGAAACCCAGUGUGUUUCGACACACUAUCAUUAACUGAAUCCAUAGGUUAAUGAGGCGAACCGGGGGAACUGAAACAUCUAAGUACCCCGAGGAAAAGAAAUCAACCGAGAUUCCCCCAGUAGCGGCGAGCGAACGGGGAGCAGCCCAGAGCCUGAAUCAGUGUGUGUGUUAGUGGAAGCGUCUGGAAAGGCGCGCGAUACAGGGUGACAGCCCCGUACACAAAAAUGCACAUGCUGUGAGCUCGAUGAGUAGGGCGGGACACGUGGUAUCCUGUCUGAAUAUGGGGGGACCAUCCUCCAAGGCUAAAUACUCCUGACUGACCGAUAGUGAACCAGUACCGUGAGGGAAAGGCGAAAAGAACCCCGGCGAGGGGAGUGAAAAAGAACCUGAAACCGUGUACGUACAAGCAGUGGGAGCACAGAGCAAUCUGUGUGACUGCGUACCUUUUGUAUAAUGGGUCAGCGACUUAUAUUCUGUAGCAAGGUUAACCGAAUAGGGGAGCCGAAGGGAAACCGAGUCUUAACUGGGCGUUAAGUUGCAGGGUAUAGACCCGAAACCCGGUGAUCUAGCCAUGGGCAGGUUGAAGGUUGGGUAACACUAACUGGAGGACCGAACCGACUAAUGUUGAAAAAUUAGCGGAUGACUUGUGGCUGGGGGUGAAAGGCCAAUCAAACCGGGAGAUAGCUGGUUCUCCCCGAAAGCUAUUUAGGUAGCGCCUCGUGAAUUCAUCUCCGGGGGUAGAGCACUGUUUCGGCAAGGGGGUCAUCCCGACUUACCAACCCGAUGCAAACUGCGAAUACCGGAGAAUGUUAUCACGGGAGACACACGGCGGGUGCUAACGUCCGUCGUGAAGAGGGAAACAACCCAGACCGCCAGCUAAGGUCCCAAAGUCAUGGUUAAGUGGGAAACGAUGUGGGAAGGCCCAGACAGCCAGGAUGUUGGCUUAGAAGCAGCCAUCAUUUAAAGAAAGCGUAAUAGCUCACUGGUCGAGUCGGCCUGCGCGGAAGAUGUAACGGGGCUAAACCAUGCACCGAAGCUGCGGCAGCGACGCUGAUGCGUUGUUGGGUAGGGGAGCGUUCUGUAAGCCUGUGAAGGUGUGCUGUGAGGCAUGCUGGAGGUAUCAGAAGUGCGAAUGCUGACAUAAGUAACGAUAAAGCGGGUGAAAAGCCCGCUCGCCGGAAGACCAAGGGUUCCUGUCCAACGUUAAUCGGGGCAGGGUGAGUCGACCCCUAAGGCGAGGCCGAAAGGCGUAGUCGAUGGGAAACAGGUUAAUAUUCCUGUACUUGGUGUUACUGCGAAGGGGGGACGGAGAAGGCUAUGUUGGCCGGGCGACGGUUGUCCCGGUUUAAGCGUGUAGGCUGGUUUUCUAGGCAAAUCCGGAAAAUCAAGGCUGAGGCGUGAUGACGAGGCACUACGGUGCUGAAGCAACAAAUGCCCUGCUUCCAGGAAAAGCCUCUAAGCAUCAGGUAACAUCAAAUCGUACCCCAAACCGACACAGGUGGUCAGGUAGAGAAUACCAAGGCGCUUGAGAGAACUCGGGUGAAGGAACUAGGCAAAAUGGUGCCGUAACUUCGGGAGAAGGCACGCUGAUAUGUAGGUGAAGUCCCUCGCGGAUGGAGCUGAAAUCAGUCGAAGAUACCAGCUGGCUGCAACUGUUUAUUAAAAACACAGCACUGUGCAAACACGAAAGUGGACGUAUACGGUGUGACGCCUGCCCGGUGCCGGAAGGUUAAUUGAUGGGGUUAGCGGUAACGCGAAGCUCUUGAUCGAAGCCCCGGUAAACGGCGGCCGUAACUAUAACGGUCCUAAGGUAGCGAAAUUCCUUGUCGGGUAAGUUCCGACCUGCACGAAUGGCGUAAUGAUGGCCAGGCUGUCUCCACCCGAGACUCAGUGAAAUUGAACUCGCUGUGAAGAUGCAGUGUACCCGCGGCAAGACGGAAAGACCCCGUGAACCUUUACUAUAGCUUGACACUGAACAUUGAGCCUUGAUGUGUAGGAUAGGUGGGAGGCUUAGAAGUGUGGACGCCAGUCUGCAUGGAGCCGACCUUGAAAUACCACCCUUUAAUGUUUGAUGUUCUAACGUGGACCCGUGAUCCGGGUUGCGGACAGUGUCUGGUGGGUAGUUUGACUGGGGCGGUCUCCUCCUAAAGAGUAACGGAGGAGCACGAAGGUUGGCUAAUCCUGGUCGGACAUCAGGAGGUUAGUGCAAUGGCAUAAGCCAGCUUGACUGCGAGCGUGACGGCGCGAGCAGGUGCGAAAGCAGGUCAUAGUGAUCCGGUGGUUCUGAAUGGAAGGGCCAUCGCUCAACGGAUAAAAGGUACUCCGGGGAUAACAGGCUGAUACCGCCCAAGAGUUCAUAUCGACGGCGGUGUUUGGCACCUCGAUGUCGGCUCAUCACAUCCUGGGGCUGAAGUAGGUCCCAAGGGUAUGGCUGUUCGCCAUUUAAAGUGGUACGCGAGCUGGGUUUAGAACGUCGUGAGACAGUUCGGUCCCUAUCUGCCGUGGGCGCUGGAGAACUGAGGGGGGCUGCUCCUAGUACGAGAGGACCGGAGUGGACGCAUCACUGGUGUUCGGGUUGUCAUGCCAAUGGCACUGCCCGGUAGCUAAAUGCGGAAGAGAUAAGUGCUGAAAGCAUCUAAGCACGAAACUUGCCCCGAGAUGAGUUCUCCCUGACUCCUUGAGAGUCCUGAAGGAACGUUGAAGACGACGACGUUGAUAGGCCGGGUGUGUAAGCGCAGCGAUGCGUUGAGCUAACCGGUACUAAUGAACCGUGAGGCUUAACCUU